AUUAGAUAAAGGCAAACCUUUUGAAAGAUUGGGACGCAAAGAUACAGGUAUAAGGUUUUAUGCUAAAUCGGCUGUGCUGCCAAA
rnacentral:ncRNA from 1 species